rnacentral:rRNA from 1 species
UACGUAGGGAGCGAGCGUUGUCCGGAUUCAUUGGGCGUAAAGAGCGUGUAGGCGGCCAUACAGGUCAGCUGUGAAAACUCGAGGCUCAACCUCGAGACGUCGGUUGAAACCGUAUGGCUAGAGUCCGGAAGAGGAGAGUGGAAUUCCCGGUGUAGCGGUGAAAUGCGCAGAUAUCGGGAAGAACACCCGUGGCGAAGGCGGCUCUCUGGGACGGUACUGACGCUGAGACGCGAAAGCGUGGGGAGCGAACAGG